GGGGAUGUAGCUCAGUUGGAUAGAGUAGCUGGCUACGAACCAGUUGGUCGGGAGUUCGAAUCUUCCCAUCCCCGCCA
rnacentral:tRNA from 1 species